CCCCACCUUCCACACUGGGUAGGUUCCGUGGGUAGUUCCUCUUGACCUGUCCCAGGCAUGUGUGGGAGGUGUCUGUUUGAAGCCAACAAAGCCCAGGGAGGAGGGCUGUACCCUUCUCACAUUCUCCAGCACCCCCGUGAGGACAGUGGACUCAGACACAGGACCAAACUUCCUUAUACUGUAGACGGCAGGUGUUCGUAGUGUGAUUAAACCUUGUCUUUAUUCUAGAAUUUUCCAUCCCGGGUUCCCAAGAAUCCAAGCUGGAAGCUUGCAUCGUGAAGAACUAUGUUAAAGGGUCUCAGCAUUAGGAAGGUUGAGAACCGCUGGCCCAGUGCUGACAGCAGUGCUUGGGUGAACGGGAGCUGGCCAGCAUCUACAGAGGAAGAAUUCCAAAUGCGAAUCAUCGGUCUAAGCACUUUCACUUCAGUCUCUCCAUCUUGGAAGUGUGGCUGCCAGGGGCCACACAAGAUGUCUGUAGCUUUAAUAUACACUUCAGCUGCUUGAAUAUGAGCAGACUCGAAGAUAAUCAAAGAAUGUCUUGAGGCCAGGGCUGGCAAGCCAUAUAUGUGCUAAUGUGGCAAUUUCAACCUUGGACUUAAGGUCAAGAUUGAUUUAGUGGGAAAUAUUAUUCUGCUACCUAGAAAUAUGCAGACAUGAAAUAUAGGAGAUGAUUUAAUGAUAAAAACGUUACAUUUUGGUUCUGCCUUUUGGAAGACAGGGGGAGGAAGAAAUAAAUUCCGAGUGUUGGAGGACCUGGAUUUGCACUUAUCGGCUAUAACAAAACAUCCGCUGGUUCUUAGGGCGCUGCGUAAAUGGAAAUCCAGAUCUCUGCUCCAAGAUCAAAUACAUCCUGGACUUGCCUGGAAAUCAUGACUGAUGGAACAGGACUCUAAGUAUAAUCAGUUAUAGCGUUCCUGUCUCACCCUAAACACCCGCUAGUUUUCUCCGACUAAAUCUGGACUCCUACAGCUGCCAUCAAAACGUGUUCUGAAGUGACAAUGACAUCAUGGCAGUACUGAGGCAGAUUCUUCAAGAUUGAGCUUUUUGGAGCCUGCUUCUGUGACCAUCUCUCCUUUACUCGGCGGAAAAUGAACAUCCCCUGCUAAGCAGGGAGAACUGAGGGACACAGCCUGGCACAUGCCCAUCACAGCUUCUCUCUCCCUCUUCCUGGUGAUUGGGAUGGCAUUCUUCCUCAAGCAAUGCGUGUGCCCAAAGAGCAUACAAUACAUUUUACAUGGUAUUAGACACUUUUUCCUUUCUAGAAUUGGAGACACAGUGUGACCCACUCAGUGAAGGAUGGAAAAAGAGCACGUUUGUCAAAUUUAGCUCAGGUCACUGCCAGCUUCAUCUCUCUGCUGUGUGAAAGACCGGCAAACCCCUCCUCUCCGUUUCAUCCACCACGCCUUGCUUAUGUUGUGAAGGCGGAUCCUAAUUCUUGUCCUAAGUCCGAUCUUGACUGUAUAAUGCAUUAAGGAGGUCACAGGAACACAGCUUGUUAGACUGAUUUCUUUCUGCUAUGAAUUUUCCAGGUUGCAUUUGUUGAGAUGACAGACCUACAUUCUACCUUCGUCUCUUCCUUCUCUACACAGAGGAAUAUGAUGGAGAGUAGCUUUAAAGCAGAAUGGACAACAUCACCCAGCAUCACUGGCGAGCUCUAGAUGCACACAAUAGUGCCUGGACCACUCCAUCCCACAGCUACUGAACCCAAUACUACUACAGCAGCACAGGCAGGAAAAUGGUCCCAGGUGACCCUGAGGUCUUCUCGCCACUGUGGACAAAAUUGGAAGAACCCCACAGCUUCCCUCCUAAGACCAUGAUUUAAAGGAAAUAGUCACAAAGGUUCAUGUUUUGGAAGAGAGAAGCUUCGUCUUUGUGGAAGCAAUUAAAUAUAAUCUCCAGGGCGUAACUCGAGCUCUUCGACGUCAGUAGGGUAUCUCUCAUACUUUCCUCCUGAGCCUUCCUGACCCGGAGUGUGACCAGCAUCUAUAGUUUUGGUUUUCCUUGAGUGGUUCUGGGCAGCUGCUCCCCUCCAGGAACGUUCUAUUCUCCCACUUUGCUCUACUCAUCCAAUCCAGGGCAUCCUCACAACCAACAUUUCCUCCAUGAAAACUUCGGUGACAUUAGCUG
rnacentral:lncRNA from 1 species